rnacentral:lncRNA from 1 species
UGGAAGAAACUACCACAAUCCUGCUGGGAGCUGAACUUUUGAGGAGUCCAAGGAGAAGAUUGGUGAGUAGAAAGUGCCCCAGAUGGUUCACUCCGAACUGCAUCUCAAACCCAUCUUCAGUCUUCAUGUAAGGGCACUGGAAGAUCCCUGCGUUAUUGAUCAAGACAUCCAGCCUAGGCUCUUCCUUUAAAUGUCAAAAAGAGA